CGGCGGCGCGGGGCGGGGCGACCGGGCGCCGCUCCCAUUGGGCCUCUCGGGCGCCCGCCGCCGGCCAGGCUUCUGCACACAUGUGAACCCGGUAAAUCUUGUCUGUCAGGUGCCUGAGACUACUACUUGGACAUCUGCCUCUCUGUUCUUCAGACUGGAUAACCCCCGUUGGAGACCCGUCUGUACCUGGCCACGCCUGGGAUUGAGUUGGUGACAGUGGACCAGUGGACGCUUCUUAGUUUUGACACAGCCACUCUGGACGUGAAAGGAGCUGGCACGAGGGGAGACAGGGGGAGGGAACUCUGUGAGCUUCCAGUCUUUCCUGUGGAUGUGAAGUUAUUCCAAUAAAAAGAACGAAAGGA